rnacentral:tRNA from 1 species
GUCACUUUAGCUUAGUGGUAGAGCGUCUGCUUCGAAAGCAGAAGGUCGUCAGUUUAAUCUUGGCAACGGGCU